UACGUAGGGGGCAAGCGUUGUCCGGAAUCAUUGGGCGUAAAGCGCGUGUAGGCGGCCCGGUAAGUCCGCUGUGAAAGUCGGGGGCUCAACCCUCGGAUGCCGGUGGACACUGUCGGGCUAGAGUGCGGGAGAGGCGAGUGGAAUUCCUGGUGUAGCGGUGAAAUGCGCAGAUAUCAGGUGGAACACCAAUUGCGAAGGCAGCUCGCUGGAACGUUACUGACGCUGAGACGCGAAAGCGUGGGGAGCAAACAGG
rnacentral:rRNA from 1 species